GAGCAACUGUGAUGUCAUUUUCAGUCGACAGCAAGUGGCAGAAUGGCCGCCCUCCGAGAUGAACAAAAACGAGUGAAUUUUUGCUUCUUAAUACAUAUCCCAAAACGCAAUAAUAAUAAUAAUCGUCCAUUUUGUAACCAAAUUUAGGACCUCUGCGUCUGAAAGCACAACAUAUUUUCUUGGGUAAUUUUUUUCCCACGUUGCACACCAACUAUGCUAAAAGUCACGAAACAUUGAACAGAUGGACGUGUAUACAGAAUUUUUGCGAGGAAGAGGAAGUAGCGUGAUUAAAUCCGAGAAAUUGGCUCCCGCCCCAUUUGGUGAUACGCCUUCAUUCUUCAGGACACCCAUAAUUAAACUUCCUUUCUGGAGGCCCGCCAAUACAAAUUAUGAAACAUUUGACAGCGUGUUAUUUGAGCAGGCGAAACAGACAUCCGUUGUCGAGGUCCCUGUCUGGAGCCGUGUGUCCUUCUCCGCUGCCUCACCCACCCGACAGGAAUGUGGCUCCACAUCUGAGCGGAGGCCAAAAGAGUAGCAGGCUACAUCGACACUUUGAGGCUGCUGGUGUCGCCAUGGACUGUUGCCCGGCACUUUGCCUGAGCCCCGAAGAGGCCGAGAGGCGCAGAAUCAACUUGGCUAUUGAGAGACAACUGGAAGUUGACAAGAAACAGAACCAACGGUCCAUCAAACUCCUCUUUUUGGGGACAGCGGAGAGCGGCAAGAGCACUUUUCUCAAGCAGAUCCGUAUCCUCCAUGGCAAAGGCUACACAGAAACCCAAAGGAUGACCUUCAUUCGCUUGGUGUGCCAGAACAUUAUCACAGCCAUCCAGCACCUCAUCGAAGCCAUGGAGGUCCUCCGCGUGGACUUUGAGGAUGCCGGAAAUCUUGACCUGGCGAAACAACUGAGCCAAGUGGAGUCCGAAAAGGUGCAAAGGUUGGAGGAGUGGCAGGUGAAGGCCGUCAAGAUGUUGUGGAGCGAUCGCGGCCUUCAGCGUUGCUACGAACGAAGACGCGAAUUUGAGUUGUCCGAUUCGGCCAAAUAUUACUUCAGCGAGAUGGACCGGAUCACCGCCCCGGGUUACAUCCCUAAUUUGCAGGAUAUCUUGAGAGUCCGCGUCCCCACCACUGGCAUAAUUGAGUACCCUUUUCAUGUAAAGGAUGUUGUCUUCAGGAUGGUGGAUGUGGGCGGUCAGCGUUCUGAAAGGAAGAAGUGGAUCCACUGCAUGGACAAUGUCAUGUCCAUCAUCUUCCUGGCCGCCCUCAACGAGUACGACAGCGUCAUGCUUGAGAACCCCACGCAUUGUCUUCCCUCUCGGCCCGCCAGAAUCGAUUGGAAGAGAGCCUGGCUUUGUUUGAGACCAUCAUCAAGUACCCGUGGUUUAAGAACACCUCAUUCAUCCUUUUCCUGAACAAGAAAGACCUUCUGGAGGAGAAAGUCCUGUAUUCGGACGUGGCCACCUACUUCCCUCAGUACCGGGGGCCUCGGCAAGAUGCCAAACACGCCCGCGAAUUCUUCCUGGAACUUUACAAGGCUUUGCACAAGGGCCACGAGAGGCCUAUGUUCAAGCACUACACCUGCGCCACUGACACCAACAACGCUAAAAUGGUCUUCAACGACGUCAAGAACACCGUCUUCACAGAAUUCAUUAACUUCAAUCCGCUUUAGCCAUAUUUUGGCCGGAAGGUACUUUAUGUAAUGUUGACGCUUGAAGCCAGCCCAUUUAAAAAAAGAAAAA